rnacentral:rRNA from 1 species
GACGAACGCUGGCGGCGUGCUUAACACAUGCAAGUCGAACGGAAAGGCCCUGCUUUUGUGGGGUGCUCGAGUGGCGAACGGGUGAGUAACACGUGAGUAACCUGCACUUGACUUUGGGAUAACUUCAGGAAAAUGGGGCUAAUACCGGAUAGGAGAUCCUGCUGCAUGGUGGGGGUUGGAAAGUUUCGGCGGUUGGGGAUGGACUCGCGGCUUAUCCGCUUGUUGGUGGGGUAGUGGCUUACCAAGGCUUUGACGGGUAGCCGGCCUGAGAGGGUGACCGGCCACAUUGGGACUGCGAUACGGCCCAGACUCCUACGGGAGGCAGCAGUGGGGAAUAUUGCACAAUGGGCGGGAGCCUGUUGCAGCAGCUCCGCGUGCGUGAUGACGGCCUUCGGGUUGUAAACCGCUUUCGCCUGUGACGAAGCGUGAGUGACGGUAAUGGGUAAGGAAGCACCGGCUAACUACGUG